GAGGCCACAGCUCAGCGACAGAGCAUCUGCAUUGCAUGCAGAAGGUCCUAGGUUCAAUCCCAAGUGGGCUCC